rnacentral:rRNA from 1 species
AUGACGAGCUCAGGCGAAUCUGCGGCGUCAGGCAGCUGCAGUAAGGGGAAGGGAAAGCUGGAGGACAUGAUGAAGGAAUUAGCCCUCGAAGAGGAUGAUUUGGAUGAUGUGGUUUUUGAGGAUGACGAUGCACCGGUAGAAGAGAAUCUCCGCUGGAUGACCUUGGCUAGGGUACACAUGGAUAAAUCUUUUAGUAACUACUGGUUCUUUCGCACCAUGCGUGCGGCAUGGGAUCUGGCUAGGCCGGUCCAGAUCAAAACCCUAGAGGAGAAUUUGUUCAUCAUGCAAUUUGGGUGUCUUGGAGAUUGGGAA